rnacentral:rRNA from 1 species
GUCGAGAAUAGUCUACAAUGGUCGAAAGACUGAUAGUGCGACGCCGCGUGAACGAAGAAGCCCUUCGGGGUGUAAAGUUCUUUUAUAUGUGAGCAAUGCCUUUUAUGUGAAUAGCAUGAGAGGAGCGAUAUUAGCAUAUGAAUAAGCAACGGCUAACUCCGUGCCAGCAGCCGCGGUAACACGGGGGUUGCAAGCGUUGUCCGGAAUUACUAGGCGUAAAGGGCAGGUAGGCGGAUAGAUAAGUUUUUUGUCAAAGGCGACGGCUCACCCGUCGUAUGGCAGGAGAUACUGUUUAUCUGGAAUGCGGUUGGGGAAGACAGAAUUCCUGGUGUAGCGGUGGAAUGCGCAGAGAUCAGGAGGAAUACCGAAGGCGAAGGCAGUCUUCUAAGCCGUUAUUGACGCUAAACUGCGAAGGUGUGGGUAUCAAACAGGAUUAGAUACCCGGGUAGUCC